GACGAACGCUGGCGGCGUGCUUAACACAUGCAAGUCGUACGGAAAGGCCCUGCUUUUGUGGGGUGCUCGAGUGGCGAACGGGUGAGUAACACGUGAGUAACCUGCCCUUGACUUUGUGAUAACUUCAGGAAACUGGGGCUAAUACCGGAUAGGAGCUCCUGCUGCAUGGUGGGGGUUGGAAAGUUUCGGCGGUUGGGGAUGGACUCGCGGCUUAUCAGCUUGUUGGUGGGGUAGUGGCUUACCAAGGCUUUGACGGGUAGCCGGCCUGAGAGGGUGACCGGCCACAUUGGGACUGAGAUACGGCCCAGACUCCUACGGGAGGCAGCAGUGGGGAAUAUUGCACAAUGGGCGGAAGCCUGAUGCAGCAACGCCGCGUGCGGGAUGACGGCCUUCGGGUUGUAAACCGCUUUCGCCUGUGACGAAGCGUGAGUGACGGUAAUGGGUAAAGAAGCACCGGCUAACUACGUG
rnacentral:rRNA from 1 species